rnacentral:sRNA from 1 species
ACCACCAACAAGGAAUACUGAGUGCAAGUCUUCCAAAAAAAAAUAUGCCCAGUGUUCGCAGCGGUCAAUAGCGGUACCGUUGGUCUUGACAGUAUAUGUUGUUUCCUUCCAAAUUGAUUGAAACUGAGAUGUUGCUGGGCCCGUAUCUUGAUGGAAUAUAAAACAAACUCGUCAUAACAAUAUAAUAUAGAUAUAUACAUAUAUACGCAUGGCUUCAUGUUGAGGACGAUCUCAUUGCGUCAUAUAAAAAAAGAAAAUUGAGAAAUAAAUACAAAAGUACCAGAUAGAAAACAAGAAGAAUAUGAGCGUCAGGGUACGGACAUAUAUCUACAAUAUGCCCUGAAGCCAUACAAUACAUGGCAUCCUCCAUCUCACUUUCUCCCCCUGAUGAUAGUAAAAUAACAAGACAUACGCGACAUCAUGGUCACUUUUGGGCGGCGGCUUU